AAUACUUCUGUUAGGUAAUCGGGACAGCCUAACUUUAAUGUAGGGAAAACCUAUCUGCAUUCAUGGAUUCUCGGGUAUUGGCCAUAGCUUAUUUCAAGAUUCAAGAUAUACUUUCAAGAAUUGAAAGACAAGAUUCCACACGUUCGUAAAGGUGGUGGCUGAAUUAUAGGUACCAUCCGACCCUUUAAGGCUGAAUACUUUCAGAAGUUAAGACAACCACUGCUGCAAGAAAUUCGAAAAGGAAGAGUAUUUGCUACUCUUGAGGAACCAGAGAGGCUGGUCAGCUCCAAACAGACACUUGGAAAUUCCACAAGUGAAAAUGUUCAAUUUUUAGCAAAGCUUAAGUUUGAUGAAUGUGGAAGAUUAUGCUUGCAUCAUCUGGCUGAAACACGUCCUCCUCCUCCUCAUCACCAUUUCAUCCAGUUCAGUGAACUCAUGCAACUGGUCAACACCUCUUCACGUCUUGCAUUUAUAGAACUUGGAGCAAGAGGGAGAACUCUUGGAAGACUCUGGAUCCGCCUUUUCCCCAACACAAUCAAGGGUCAGCAAUUUGCUCUCCUCUGUACUGGUGAGAGGGGACCUUGCUAUGCUGGAACAAAAGUCUUUGCUGUUGCAAACAAAGGACACAACAUGGAAGAAUCUGUAUGCUUUGGUGACUAUGAAUGGAACAGUGGAUCUGGUGGAAAAGCAGUGUUGGAUGACAUUGACUGGGAGCAGGAGGUUGUGAAAGCUAUCUAUGAUCGAACAUGGGAAGCUGGAAUAGUGUCAUGUUCUGAGCCAGAGCACAGAGCUGCUCAGUUUGCCAUUACCACCCGGGACUGGUGUGAAACAGAAUGUAUUGGUGGGUUUGGUAAGGUUGAAAGUGGCCUCAGUGUUUUGACUGAUGCUAUUGCUGAGUUUGCAGACAUAAGAGAAUGCUUCAUACAGGAUUGUGGUAUUGCAUUGUUAACUUGAUUAAAGGUCUUCACCAUUCCUUUGAUGUAGUCUGUACAAGAAAUGUCCCUUCCUUUUACACAUUUAAACAUUGUACUUUGUUACUGUAAAUUGAAGAGCUAGUCAACAAGACGUAUUUUAUCUUUUUGAACAGUGCGCAAGAGGAUUCCAAUUUUAAAGAUAUUUAUAUUGUUCAUCAAAAUUUAAUUUUAAUACAUUUUUAGACUUAAGAUAUUGUACGUCAGAAAUAAUUUCUAAUGUUAAAUAUAAACUUAUUUUUAAGCUAAUUUAUCUACUCCAUUUACACAGCUGUUGUUCCAAGACUAAUAACUUAUGACCUACCACAGUUAGGAUGUAUGCCAGUAGUAUUAAUAUAUUAUUGCUGAAGACAUUCAAGUAAAAUCGACGACAGUUUUACUGAGUGGAAUGGAUAAUAGUGAUUGCUGAAAAGGUUACAUUAAACCUUCCAGUUGCAGUCAUAAGCACUGUUUCAAAGUUUUUCUUCUACAAUAUUUUAAUUACCUUUAAUCAUUUGAUAUCUGUAAUUAAUGUAAGUUCUGUAAUCUUGAUUUUCUCAGUUUUCCUGCAAAAAUGUAUGGCUACAUUUACAUACUUUCAUGUAGUUGAAAUUGAAAACUUGUUACUGAAUCAAAAGAAUUCAUUGUAAAACAAACCAAGGUGUCAACUAUAGUAAACUAGAUGUGGUGUUACCAUUUUGUUUAUGCCAUAGAUAUAGAGGGGAGAAAUUUGACAGACAAGCGAUGAUCGCUUGCACAUAAGGCACUUUUGUUGUGCAAUGAUUUUCAGAAAUGGCAGCUGCAUUGACUGCAUAGACCAGCGGCAAAAAAGCCACUUAUAGCACCCAGUACUGGGCUAUCAACUCUGUCACUUAAAGAAACAAGAUUACCAAAGAUCAGGGGAUCACAUUUCACAAGUAUGAGAUCUAUUUUCAUUCAUCUGAUGGAUCACAGUCAACUUGCAGUCAAUUACAUGCCGGCUUUUAUAUCAUAUAAACUAAUGAAUGUUGUAAUAAGCCUAGCCUAGUAAAUUAACAAGUGUUACCGUCAGUUCAUAUAAGCAUGGUCAACCCUGACAGUUUUUCCUACUACUGGUAUAACAAUGUAUGCGCAGUAUCAUUAGGCCUAGAUCCAGGCAUGCUGCAGUUUAAGUGUUAAUGACGUGUUAUACUGUUACUUAUGUGUUUUCAAUAAGAUCUCAAACCUAGUAUGGAGAGGACUCGGCUGAAUUUGAUCUGCCAGAUCACUUAAUAGGUAGUGUUCUUCAAUUUUACCAUUAUCAGUUUCACCCAAAAGGAUACUUCGAAUUCAUACUACAUUAUAGUUUUAAAAGUAAAUUUUACCAACUAGCUAGUCUACCAGGGUUGAUCUUCAUAUAACCAAGGCUAACCUACCAUAGGCUAACCUUAGCUUAGCAAAGGUACCCUAACUUGCCAUAACCUUCAGGAAUGCUGAUUUUCUGUCUGUCCCCCUCCACAGAUUAUGAAAUACAACUCAAGUCUUGGUUAGCUAUAGAAGCCCAAGUUAAUCUUACAGACUAGCCUAACUUAGACUGUACUACAUUGUAAAUAAGCAUGUUGACUUACAGGUCAGUAUGAUUGUGACAUGUUACAUAACUUUAUACUUGGUUACUAUAUAUCUGCAGACUACAGCACAUAGUAAUUAGUAUAUGAAUAUUUUGUCAUGUUAUUUCUCUAACAAUAUUCACGUGCCUCUGUAUUAGGUUCCUUAUUAACUUGUGUUUUAUUUUUUCAAGAUAUCUUCGUAAUGGAGCCCCUCUCUUUCAUAAUAAAAGCCCUUUCAGAAUUAUUUGAUAUAAAUAUAUAUAUAUAUAUAAUUUUUAAAACAUCUGGAUUGCACUGAUGCACCUCUCAAAAUAGAUAUUACAUGAUUAGUGUCACAAACGGAGACUGAGUAUUUUCAGAAUAUCAUUGAUCAAUGACACCAAAUUUGACAAUGUAACUCAUUGAAAGUUACAUAUAUUCCUUGAUUUUCUUAACAUUAUAUACCAGUAAAAAUUAA